AUGGAGUGCAAACAUGAGCCUGCUAGAAGAGGGGACAGCUGGGGUGGGCCUACCACUACAACAUCCUCCACCCUCAACAAGACUGGAGCAAACACGUCCCUGGAGAGGCACAGUACUAACAUUUUGGAGAAAGAUGACCACUGCGGGGUCAAAGCAAAGCCAGGCUUGACGUCUUGCCAGAUGGAGCGGAAAACAAAAUCCAACUCAUACAAUACAAAGAUAAUGUACUGGAUCCAGACACAGUGAAGAAAAAAGGACUUAUAUACCCAAAGUGAUAACCCGCCUGACCUUAUGCAAUUUGUCUGUAAACUGACUCCAAAUGUGGAGUCUUAAACUGUUAUCUUUUUUCUAUCACCUAAUUUUUCAUUUUGCAGCUUCUGCAAAUGUACAGUAACUUAUGGCCACAGCUGUUCAUUUCAUAAUAAUAUAGCAGGUCAAUUACAAGGCAUUUCUCAGCAUCAGAACUGAUCUGUAGAUGCUAUUCUGUGAAUGUUGUUCGACUUGAGAGUAAGGUAGCAGAGUAAGAAAUGUCUCCAAGUACAGGUUUUGUGGACAGUGAUGUGUAAUUGCACAUUCAUGGUCUUAAACCUUUCUGAUCUCAUCGCUCCUCACGUACUCGCACACAUUUCCCAGAGGAAAACUGUCAUUUUAUCCCAUCCUCCCAGUGAAUCAUAACAUCCGACAGGGGAAUCUGACCUUUGAUAUACAACCCUAUGUCUGCCAGGUCCCCAAAUCCUCAAGCUGUGAGGGACUUUCCCUCAUCUGUCCGAACUGAGAGCCCACAUAUCAUACGAAGCUCAGUACCAACAUUACUCCUUUCCCCGAAUUCCUACCACUACUUUUUAGGUUUGAGGAAGUUCCUGUGUUUCCCUUCUGUUAAUGAUAAGUUAAGCGUGAGGGUUAUGAUUCAGGUAUGAUGGAUAAGCUAAGCAAGCAAACCUCUGCGGUCUAAAAUGAACUCCACCCUUGAGGCUCAGGUGUCCAUCCACCCAAGUGAGUGUGUUUGCCGGAUGGCUCUCUCCCCUGACAUCCAAUCCUCUGAAAGAGCUGACACAUUGAUUCUAUACAUGACACUGAUGAAAUGUGGCCACUUAAUUUGGCGUGGAACAGAAUGUGCGAACUAACAGAUUCUGUACGUGAUUAUUUAAGUACAUCCAAGGCCGUAGCAGUCAUAAAUAUGAAUCGUUCCUACAUCCAUGAUCUCUGGUAACGAAGACAGUGGUUACUCAAAGGGAUAGUUCACCGAAAAAUGAAAAUGUUGUCAUUAUUUGCUAACCCUCAUGUAGUUUGAAACCCACAUGCUUUUCUUUCUUCUGUAGAACACAAAUGGAGAUGUUUGGCAGAAAGUCAAGAACUGACAGCCUCAGUCACCAUUCUCUUUCAUUGCAUAUUUUUCCCAUUAAAUGAAAGUGAAUGGUGACUGAGGCUGUUACUCUGCUUCUACAUUAGUGUUUCACAUAAGAAAGAAAUGGGUUUUAAGGUCGUAAGGGUUUAGAACAACAUGUGGGUGAUAUAUAAUAAUAUAAUAUACUUAAGAGAGUUGCUGCAAAACCACUGCUAGAGAAACGUGUCUAAUUGGACUUUUGGCUUAAAACCUCAUAGUUUCUGACUAUAGCCCUUGUGACAACCUCCCGCGUGACAACUAGCCCCGCUUUCCAGGUCUAUUCUGUAUCCCGGGUCUUCGCUGUUGAAUUUGGAGUGUAGCUACCAAACCAAAAAAACAAACAAAACAACAACAGAGGAAGCAAAGUCUGCCAGGAACGUCACACAGCAUAGCCAUCCUUUUAAAAAAAGCAAAAGGGAAGCGCCAACCUCGUCCAGUGCCCCAGCCUGCCCGCCUCAUGCUCGAUGCGCAUUUGGAGCGCGCAAGAGAUCAUCAUUCGCAACGACACGAAAUCCGAUCCAGGCUCUCGCUGCUAAAGGGGGAGUGGAGGAAACACUUGAAGUUAAAUUAGAAAAGCUCGCGAAGCAGCAACAAAAGAGACUGUAUCCAGAGUUAAUUAAGGUAAGAGAAGUUUAGUUUGACCCGGUGCUUCUGGAAAGUUAAACAACGGUAUUUGCGUAAUAAAACGCUUAGAUCUGUGAAAGGCAUGUGCUGAAGUCAUGUUUAAGUUCUGAGGUUUGAUGACAUGAUCGUUUAAAUGAUAUAAUGUGAUGAAUCUUCUUUAAAGCGAGAAGAGAGCAAUAUUUUGCAGUGAACGCAUGCUGUUUUAAAAGAGC
ensembl:lncRNA